AUGGAAUUUAAUGCAGCCGAUCAGAAGGUAAGAAGCACCUAUGAAUCUGGAUCAGCGGAAACUGGUGGGGGAACGCUCCGUCCUUAUUUGCUUCACUGUUUUGUUCUUGUGUUUUACCAGGUUCCUUUGGUCGACCAUUUGGACAAAAGUCAACCGUCCAUGCAUCUGCUGGCUAUCGGGAUAGUGGUGUCUUUCCGGCUCAGGGCAGCAGAAGAACUACCGGUGGAAUUCGUGAGGAACAGGCAGGCGUGGAUGGAAGACGGGAGAGCUUGCCCCAGUUAUCUGAGCUGUCGACCGGCAAAUUGA
rnacentral:rRNA from 1 species